CCUACGGGGGGCAGCAGUGAGGAAUAUUGGUCAAUGGACGAGAGUCUGAACCAGCCAAGUAGCGUGAAGGAUGACUGCCCUAUGGGUUGUAAACUUCUUUUAUAUGGGAAUAAAAUGUUCCACGUGUGGGAUUUUGUAUGUACCAUAUGAAUAAGGAUCGGCUAACUCCGUGCCAGCAGCCGCGGUAAUACGGAGGAUCCGAGCGUUAUCCGGAUUUAUUGGGUUUAAAGGGAGCGUAGGUGGAUUGUUAAGUCAGUUGUGAAAGUUUGCGGCUCAACCGUAGAAUUGCAGUUGAAACUGGCAGUCUUGAGUACAGUAGAGGUGGGCGGAAUGCGUGGUGUAGCGGUGAAAUGCUUAGAUAUCACGAAGAACUCCGAUUGCGAAGGCAGUUCACUGGACUGCAACUGACACUGAGGCUCGAAAGUGUGGGUAUCAAACAGGAUUAGAUACCCUGGUAGUC
rnacentral:rRNA from 1 species